GCCUGGGGGGCUCAGUCGGUUGAGCAUCCAACUUUAGCUCAGGUCAUGAUCUCAUAGCUUGUGGGUUCGAGCCCCACAUCAGGCU
rfam:Felis catus isolate Cinnamon breed Abyssinian chromosome B3, whole genome shotgun sequence.